rnacentral:rRNA from 1 species
UACGGGGGGGAGCAAGCGUUUGUUCGGAUUUACUGGGCGUAAAGGGCGCGUAGGCGGUCGUGACAAGUCACUUGUGAAAUCUCCGGGCUUAACUCGGAACGGUCAAGUGAUACUGUCGUGCUAGAGUACAGAAGGGGCAACUGGAAUUCUCGGUGUAGCGGUGAAAUGCGUAGAUAUCGAGAGGAACACCUGCGGCGAAGGCGGGUUGCUGGGCUGAUACUGACGCUGAGGCGCGAAAGCUAGGGGAGCGAACGGG